rnacentral:rRNA from 1 species
UAGGGAAUAUUGGACAAUGGGGGCAACCCUGAUCCAGCCAUGCCGCGUGAGUGAAGAAGGCCCUCGGGUUGUAAAGCUCUUUUGUCCGGAAAGAAAAGCUUCGGGUUAAUACCCCGGGGUUCUGACGGUACCGGAAGAAUAAGCACCGGCUAACUUCGUGCCAGCAGCCGCGGUAAUACGAAGGGUGCAAGCGUUACUCGGAAUUACUGGGCGUAAAGCGUGCGUAGGUGGUUGGUUAAGUCUGAUGUGAAAGCCCUGGGCUCAACCUGGGAAUGGCAUUGGAAACUGGGCAGCUAGAGUGCGGUAGAGGGUAGUGGAAUUCCCGGUGUAGCAGUGAAAUGCGUAGAGAUCGGGAGGAACAUCUGUGGCGAAGGCGACUGCCUGGACGAGCACUGACACUGAGGCACGAAAGCGUGGGGAGCAAACA